UACGGAGUGUGCAAGCGUUACUCGGAAUCACUGGGCGUAAAGCGUCCGCAGGUGGCUGUGUAAGUCUGCUGUUAAAGAGUGAGGCUCAACCUCAUAAAAGCAGUGGAAACUACACAGCUAGAGUGCGUUCGGGGCAGAGGGAAUUCCUGGUGUAGCGGUGAAAUGCGUAGAGAUCAGGAAGAACACCGGUGGCGAAGGCGCUCUGCUAGGCCGCAACUGACACUGAGGGACGAAAGCUAGGGGAGCGAAUGGG
rnacentral:rRNA from 1 species